rnacentral:rRNA from 1 species
AGAGUUUGAUCAUGGCUCAGGAUGAACGCUAGCUACAGGCUUAACACAUGCAAGUCGAGGGGAAACGACAUCGAAAGCUUGCUUUUGAUGGGCGUCGACCGGCGCACGGGUGAGUAACGCGUAUCCAACCUGCCCACCACUUGGGGAUAACCUUGCGAAAGUAAGACUAAUACCCAAUGACGUCUCUAGAAGACAUCUGAAAGAGAUUAAAGAUUUAUCGGUGAUGGAUGGGGAUGCGUCUGAUUAGCUUGUUGGCGGGGUAACGCCACAGGCGACGAUCAGUAGGGUUCUGAGAGGAACGGUCCCCACAUUGGAACUGAGACACGGUCCAAACUCCGUACGGAGGCA